CAGUAGCCGCGGUAAUACAGAGGGUGCAAGCGUUAAUCGGAAUUAUUGGGCGUAAAGGGCGCGUAGGCGGUUUGGCAAGUUUGGUGUGAAAUCUUCGGGCUCAACUCGAAGUCUGCACCGAAAACUGCCGGGCUUGAGUAUGGGAGAGGUGAGUGGAAUUUCCGGUGUAGCGGUGAAAUGCGUAGAUAUCGGAAGGAACACCUGUGGCGAAAGCGGCUCACUGGACCAUUACUGACGCUGAGGCGCGAAAGCUAGGGGAGCAAACAGGAUUAGAUACCCGUGUAGUCCCUGUCUCUUAUAC
rnacentral:rRNA from 1 species